ACAGACGAGCUGUGGGAAGCAGGAGGGAGACUCUCUCUUAGGGUGCCACUACUAUGGAGACACAGCUGGGCUGAACAAGAUUUGCUUCAAACGACAACAAGAGAGACAGAAAGUAUCUGGUUCAACCGCUGCCCGAGCAGGCAGGCACCAGAAGAGCUAGCAGCCAAUCCGGCCAUGCUCGAAGCCAGCUCUGCAGCUCAGCCAAUCAGUGACAUCAUUGCUUUCUUUAGCUUGCCCAUGGUGAUGUGAAGAUGAGAAGAAAUAGCAAGGCCCAACCAGUUCUUCAUCUGGAGACAGUUCAACGUUCUGCAAACCAGAUCUUCAGGAAUUUUACUGGGAUAAUUAUCCAAAUAAAUUGCAAGCAUUCUAUCCAAAUGGAGCUCUUUCUGAGAUGAAGAGAAUUCUCAAUGUCAAGAUUUGAACAAGAAGAGAAUGGAAUACACAAUAUGGACAUCCAUAAAAAUUCAUCAGAGAGCAUUUUACUACUGAGCUGCAAAGGGAAAAACUUAAAAUGGAUAUGAAAAGUGAAGAAAGUGAUCAUAGGAGAAAACCAUUUCAGAUCAACCACCUCAGAAGAGCCAGAUUCCACUUCUGUGGCCAGGACUUUUACAUUAUGGCUGGUCCGAUUGUUUUACCCUGCGUUCUAUGCUACUAAACCUUGGAUCAUUCCUAAAGUACAAAUUCUGUUCUCGAACCACAAACAAGGCUAAAAGAUCGGAGGAAAUUCAGUGAAUAUACAGGAUUGGGGUUGUGUAUUUUUAAAA
rnacentral:lncRNA from 1 species